CAGUCGCCGCGGUAACACCAGCACCUCGAGUGGUCAGGAGGUUUAUUGGGCCUAAAGCAUCCGUAGCCGGUUGCAUAAGUUUUCGGUUAAAUCUAUGCGCUUAACGUAUAGGCCGCCGAAAAUACUGUGCAGCUAGGGAGUGGGAGAGGUACACGGUACUCGAUAGGAAGGGGUAAAAUCCUUUGAUCUAUUGAUGACCACCUGUGGCGAAGGCGGUGUACCAGAACACGUUCGACGGUGAGGGAUGAAAGCUGGGGGAGCAAACCGGAUUAGAUACCCCUGUAGUCCCUGUCUCUUAUAC
rnacentral:rRNA from 1 species